GGAACAAACAAGCUCUCUGGAGAAGAGAUACUGAGAGAAUGUCUUAGACAUUCUGAGAAGUGGAACCAUGGACUGGCAACGAUGGAAGAGGCAAAUCAUCACUCUGCCUCCUACUAGUUCUGCUGGUGAUAGUGGGCAAAUACUCAGAUUCUCCUGUGGGCUUCAGUUUCUCCACAUAUGAAAUGAGGACAGAAGUACCAGUCUCAGCUGCCCCAUGUGACGUUAUAAGGAUCAAAACAAAUGAGGUAGCCCCCCCUGAACCUGUAGCCUGGAAUCAGAAACCCUUGACUCUCACUUUCCACUUGGAGCUCCUCCACAUCAGUCAAUGAUGCAUGUCUCAGU
rnacentral:lncRNA from 1 species